rnacentral:SRP_RNA from 1 species
AAUAAUAAAUGGAGCAACACUUGUGCGUGAAGUGGGUCAGGGGAGGAAUUCAGCAGCCCUAAGCGAUUGUCGAGUGUGUGCUUCUUUUUUUGUUGUAGCA